rnacentral:pre_miRNA from 1 species
AGGAGGAGCAACCCCAGUGGCGGAGGCCAGCUUGGAGCCCUGGAUUCAGCUCCCGCAGUAACUACGUAGCUCUCGGUCUGCAGGUGCCUGGAUGCUCUGGGGGUGG